rnacentral:rRNA from 1 species
CCAAUAGCGUAUAUUAAAGUUGUUGUGGUUAAAAAGCUCGUAGUUGAACCUUGGGCCUGGCUGGCCGGUCCGCCUCACCGCGUGUACUGGCCCGGCCGGGCCUUUCCCUCUGUGGAACCCCAUGCCCUUCACUGGGUGUGGCGGGGAAACAGGACUUUUACUUUGAAAAAAUUAGAGUGCUCCAGGCAGGCCUAUGCUCGAAUACAUUAGCAUGGGAUAAUAGAAUAGGACGUGUGGUUCUAUUUUGUUGGUUUCUAGGACCGCCGUAAUGAUUAAUAGGGACAGUCGGGGGCAUCAGUAUUCAAUUGUCAGAGGUGAAAUUCUUGGAUUUAUUGAAGACUAACUACUGCGAAAGCAUUUGCCAAGGAUGUUUUCAUUAAUCAGGAACGAAAGUUAGGGGAUCGAAGACGAUCAGAUACCGUCGUAGUCUUAACCAUAAACUAUGCCGACUAGGGAUCGGACGAUGUUACUUAUUGACUCGUUCGGCACCUUACG